AAAGAAAAGUAAGAAAGGGCGUAUGGCGGAUGCCUAGGCUCACGGAGGCGAUGAAGGACGUGAUAAGCUGCGAUAAGCCCCGGGUAGGUGCAAAUAACCAUUGAUCCGGGGAUUUCCGAAUGGGACAACCUGGCCGUCUGAAGGACGGUCAUCCUGACCCAGAGUCAGGAGGCUAACGCAGGGAACUGAAACAUCUUAGUACCUGCAGGAAGAGAAAAUAAAUAAUGAUUCCCCCAGUAGUGGCGAGCGAACGGGGAACAGCCCAAACCGCAGACGUCGUAAGGCGCCGGCGGGGUUGUAGGACCGCGGCAUUGUAUUGCGAUGGCGAGUGGAAGUAUCUGGAAAGUUACAUCAUAGAAGGUGACAGUCCUGUACACGAAGCCAAAUCAAGCAUAGCGGUAUCCUGAGUAACGCGGGACACGAGGAAUCCUGCGCGAAUCUGCCGGGACCAUCCGGUAAGGCUAAAUACUCCCGUGAGACCGAUAGCGUACGAGUACUGUGAAGGAAAGGUGAAAAGCACCCCGAGCAGGGGAGUGAAAUAGUUCCUGAAACCAUACGCCUACAAGCGGUCGGAGCACAGCAAUGUGUGACGGCGUGCCUUUUGCAUAAUGAUCCUACGAGUUACCGUCACUGGCGAGGUUGAGUGUCACGAGACACGUAGCCGCAGUGAAAGCGAGCCUGAAUAGGGCGCAUAGUCAGUGGGGGUAGACGCGAAACCAAGUGAUCUACACUUGGCCAGGAUGAAGUCCCGGUAACACGGGAUGGAGGUCCGCACCAAUAAGCGUUGAAAAGCUUCUGGAUGAGCCGAGUGUAGGAGUGAAAGGCCAAUCAAACUUGGAGAUAGCUCGUACUCCCCGAAAGGCAUUUAGGUGCCGCGUCGGAUGGUCACCGUGAGAGGUAGAGCGACCGAUAGGACGAGAGGGCUUCACCGCCUAUCGAGUCCUGACGAACUCCGAAUGCUCACGGUUCGCAGUCCGGCAGUAAGGGGGCGGGUGCUAAGGUCCGUCCCCGAGAGGAGAAGAAUCCAGACCGCCGUCUAAGGUCCCGGAGUUCUGCCUGAGUUAGUCUAACGAAGUCUGGUCCCAGUGACAGCUAGGAUGUUGGCUUGGAAGCAGCCAUUCAUUCAAAGAGUGCGUAACAGCUCACUAGUCGAGGGUCCGGGCAUGGAUAAUAAUCGGGUAUAAGGCAGACACCGAAGGCGCGGGAUAGCAUUAAAGAAAGUAUCGGUAGGGGAGCAUACUCACAGCGUCGAAUGGUGUACGUAAGUUAUCCUGGAGCGGUGAGUAAAGCAAAUGUAGGAAUAAGUAACGAUAAGGAGGGUGAGAUUCCCUCCCGCUGUAAGACCAAGGUUUCCCGGGCAAUGCCAAUCAGCCCGGGGUCAGUCGGGUCCUAAGUCUAAGCCGAACGGCGAGGGCGAUGGCAGAGACGGUUAAUAUUCCGUCACUGCCGCAUGGGGCGACGUGGAGACGGAGCAGUGAAACCACCGCGGGGCGACGGAAGUCCCCGUUGAAGGGUGUAGGUUAUGAGAUGGGCAGGCAAAUCCACCCGUUGAGCCGAACCUGACAGUACGGAGUCCUCCUCGGAGGAGUCCGAUAGCGUGGGUAACCAUACUCCCGAGAAAAUCCGCUAAGCUUAACCCAUGCGGCACCCGUACCGCAAACGGACACACGUGGUCGGGUAGAACAUACUAAGGCGUUGAGAGAUUCAUGGUUAAGGAACUAGGCAAACUGACCCCGUAACUUCGGGAUAAGGGGUCCUCGUGACGAGCGAGGCGCAGAGAAUAGGUCCAGGCAACUGUUUAACAAAAACACAGGGCUGUGCAAACUCGAAAGAUGAAGUAUACAGCCUGACACCUGCCCGGUGCCGGAAGGUUAAGAGGAGAUGUCACUCGUAAGAGGAAGCAUUGAAUUGAAGCCCCGGUAAACGGCGGCCGUAACUAUAACGGUCCUAAGGUAGCGAAAUUCCUUGUCGGGUAAGUUCCGACCUGCACGAAUGGUGUAAUGAUCCGGACGCUGUCUCAACCAUGAGCUCAGUGAAAUUGUAGUAUCGGUGAAGAUGCCGAUUACCCGCGAUGGGACGAAAAGACCCCGUGAACCUUUACUACAGCUUAGCAUUGACCUUGGUCAUCCGAUGUGUAGGAUAGGCCGGAGGCUUCGAAGCGGGAGCGCCAGCUUUCGUGGAGCCAUCCUUGAAAUACGGCCCUUUGGCUGUCUGAGGUCUAACGCGCGCUGCGCGGACACUGCUUGGUGGGUAGUUUGACUGGGGUGGUCGCCUCCAAAAGCGUAACGGAGGCUUCCAAAGGUGCCCUCGGGCCGAUUGGUAACCGGCCUUACAGAGUGCAAUGGCAUAAGGGCGCUUGACUGGGAGGCAGACAUGCCGAGCAGGCAGGAAACUGGGGCAUAGUGAUCCGGCGGAUGUGUAUGGAAACUCCGUCGCUCAAAGGAUAAAAGGUACUCCGGGGAUAACAGGCUGAUCCCCCCCAAGAGCUCAUAUCGACGGGGUGGUUUGGCACCUCGAUGUCGGCUCGUCACAUCCUGGGGCUGGAGAAGGUCCCAAGGGUUGGGCUGUUCGCCCAUUAAAGUGGCACGCGAGCUGGGUUCAGAACGUCGUGAGACAGUUCGGUCUCUAUCUAUCGUGGGCGUGGGAGUUUUGCGUGGUGCCGUCACUAGUACGAGAGGACCGUGAUGGACAGACCUCCGGUUUACCAGUUGUGCCGCCAGGCGCACCGCUGGGUAUCUGAGUCUGGAUUGGAUAAGCGCUGAAAGCAUCUAAGUGCGAAGCCAGCCGCAAGAUGAGAACUCCAUAGAGGGUCGUCAUAGACGAUGACGUUGAUAGGACGCAGGUGUAAAGACGGCGACGUCAAAGCCGAGCGUUACUAAUUGCCCGAAACUUUUCUUUC
rnacentral:rRNA from 1 species